UUAGGAGUAGGGUUAGGAGUAGGGUUAAGGGUAGGGGUAGGCUUGGGCUAGGAGUAGGGUUAGAGUUAGGGUAGGGUUAGGAAUAGGGUUAGGGUACCUCUACCCCUAACCCUAAACUACCCCUACCCCGAACCCUACUCCUAACCCGACCCCUAACCCUACUCCUAACUCUAACCCUACCCUAACCCUUCUCCUAACCCAACCCUAACCCUACUCCUAACCCUAACCCUACUCCUAACCCUAACCCUGCUUCUAACCCUACCCUAACCCUACUCCUAACCCUACCCUACCCUAA